rnacentral:rRNA from 1 species
UGAGUACGAGAUGCUACGGCAUCGAAGCAGUCUAUGUCAUACUUCCAAGAAAAGCUUGCAAUGUCAUAAACAAAUAAUGCCUGUACCAUAACCGACACAGGUGGGUAGGUAGAGUAUACUAAGGGGCGCGAGAUAACUCUCUCUAAGGAACUCGGCAAAAUGACUCCGUAACUUCGGGAGAAGGAGUGCCUUAUUUUUAUAAGGUUGCAAUAACAAGAUCCAAGCAACUGUUUACCAAAAACACAGGUCUCCGCUAAGUCGUAAGACGAUGUAUGGGGGCUGACGCCUGCCCAGUGCCAGAAGGUUAAAGAAGUUGGUUAGCAUUAGCGAAGCUGAUAACUGAAGCCCUGGUGAACGGCGGCCGUAACAAUAACGGUCCUAAGGUAGCGAAAUUCCUUGUCGGGUAAGUUCCGACCCGCACGAAAGGCGUAAUGAUUUGGAUACUGUCUCGGAGAGGGGCUCGGUGAAAUAGACUUGUCUGUGAAGAUGCGGACUACCUGCACCUGGACAGAAAGACACUAUGAAGCUUUACUGUAACUUGAGAUUGAAAUUGGACUUUAUCUGCGCAGUAUAGGUGGGAGACGUUGAAAAUAUUCUUGCGGGAGUAUUGGAGUCAUCAGUGAGAUACCACUCUUAUAAUGUUAGAUUUCUAACUUUGUAUCAUUAUCUGGUCAAAGAACAGUUUCAGGCGGGCAGUUUGACUGGGGCGGUCGCCUCCCAAACGGUAACGGAGGCGCACAAAGGUUUCCUCUGAACGUGUAGAAAUCGUAUCUAGAGUGUAAAGGCAUAAGGAAGCUUGACUGUGAGACCUACAAGUCGAGCAGGGACGAAAGUCGGUCUUAGUGAUCUGACGGUGCUGAGUGGAAAGGCCGUCACUCAACGGAUAAAAGUUACUCUAAGGAUAACAGGCUGAUCUCCCCCAAGAGUUCACAUCGACGGGGAGGUUUGGCACCUCGAUGUCGGCUCAUCGCAUCCUGGGGCGGUAGUACGUCCCAAGGGUUGGGCUGUUCGCCCAUGAAAGCGGUACGCGAGCUGGGUUCAGAACGUCGUGAGACAGUUCGGUCCAUAUCCGGUGUAAGCGUUAGAAUAUUGAGAGGAGCCUUCUUUAGUACGAGAGGACCGAGAGGGACAUACCUCUGGUGUACCAGUUAUCGUGCCAACGGUAAACGCUGGGUAGUCAUGUAUGGAGAGGAUAACCGCUGAAAGCAUCUAAGUGGGAAGCCCACCUCAAGAUAAG